rnacentral:rRNA from 1 species
UACGGAGGGUGCAAGCGUUAAUCGGAAUUACUGGGCGUAAAGCGUGCGCAGGCGGUUUGUUAAGUCUGUUGUGAAAUCCCCGAGCUCAACUUGGGAAUUGCAAUGGAUACUGGCAGGCUGGAGUAUGGUAGAGGAAGGUGGAAUUCCCGGUGUAGCAGUGAAAUGCGUAGAUAUCAGGAGGAACACCGAUGGCGAAGGCAGGUCUCUGGGCUGACACUGACGCUCAUGCACGAAAGCGUGGGGAGCAAACAGG